rnacentral:tRNA from 1 species
UGGAAUGUAGCUUAGUGGUAGAGCGCUUGCCUAGCAUGCAUGAAGCCCUGGGUUUGAUUCCUCAGUACCAC